UACGGAGGGGCUAGCGUUGUUCGGAAUUACUGGGCGUAAAGCGCACGUAGGCGGCUUUGUAAGUUAGAGGUGAAAGCCUGGAGCUCAACUCCAGAAUUGCCUUUAAGACUGCAUCGCUUGAACGUCGGAGAGGUGAGUGGAAUUCCGAGUGUAGAGGUGAAAUUCGUAGAUAUUCGGAAGAACACCAGUGGCGAAGGCGGCUCACUGGACGACUGUUGACGCUGAGGUGCGAAAGCGUGGGGAGCAAACAGG
rnacentral:rRNA from 1 species